rnacentral:lncRNA from 1 species
AGCAAUUCUCCUGCCUCAGCUUCCCAAGUAUCUGGGACUACAGGGUUUUUACCUUAAAUAACUAAUUACUGGCCAUAUUUGGGAAGUGUUGAAAAAAAGCAGACAAUCUGAGGAUGAUGUUGACUUGGGGAUCCAAAGGCACAGCAGAUCCUCUCUAUAGACUCUCUCUCUCACUGGCUUUGAUGAAUAAGCUGCCAUGCUGUGAGCUACCCUAUGGAGAAUCCAACAUGGCAAAGAACUGAGGCCCUUGGUCCAACAGCCAGUGAGGAACUCAAUCCUGCCAACAACUACAGGAGCAUGGAAAUGGAUCCUUCCCUAGUCAAGUUUCAGAUGAGACCUCAGCCCUGGCUGACACCUGGGUGGCAACUUCAGGAGAGACCCUGAACAAAGCACAGGACUCAGCUAAGCUGUGACUGGAUUUCUGGCCCACAGAAGCUGUGUGAUAAUAAAUGUUGUUUUAAGCAGCUCAGUUUGUGGUCAUUUUUUACAUGGCCAUAGAUAACUAAUAUAGCCAAGCCCCAAAUAAAGCCAAGUCUAGAAAGCACAUUUAUAUUUUUCCCUAUUAAAAAUGAUAACUUGGCUGGGCGUGGUGGCUCACACCUGUAAUCCCAGG